rnacentral:lncRNA from 1 species
GGUCUGAUUUAGGAGACUGGACAAGGAAGAUGGAUCAAGAGCUUUAUUCACAUUUGGGUUAUUUGGGAGUUGGUGUGGUGUACACCAGGGAUGGUAAAGAAUGAGGCUACAAAGCAAGAAUUUCUCCUGAGACUUUGAAAGGUCUAAGUGGCAAGUUUGGUACAGCUAUAUUAUCUAACACCAGGAUAGAGUCUGAAAUUUGAGCUGAUAAUGAAGACCUUUUACAGUUUUGAGCAGAGAAGAAAACAUGAAGCCAGGGCAUUCCUAUAUUUUAGACUGUCAACCAGUGGCUCUUUUAACAGUGGCAUGGGGGACGAGGGCUUAAAAAGGACUUUUUGAAUAGGUAAUACACACAAUAAAAUUCAAAGAACACAAAUAAGAUUUCCCCAACCCCUACUCCCUUACAUAAAGGCCACCCACUAUCAACCAUUUCUUGUGUAGUCUAUGGAUUCUAUAAACAUUUAGUGUGUAGAUACAUACAUACAUGUAUAUACACAUGCUUGUGAAUUAAAGAUGGUCACAAAUUCUUUGCCACUCUUCUUAUGGAAUAGUGGAAUCAAGUUCCCCUCUACCUGCAUCCGGAAGGGCCCUGUAACUGGCUUAGAUCCAGAGACUGCAGAAGUUAAUUAUAAGAUUUCCUUUCAUCCGCUUGGAACCAAGUUGCCAUGCUGCGAGAAUCCCAACCAAUAUGAAAAGGCCACAUUAAGAGAACCAAGGAGGGCCAGGCCAGUGGGGCAGCAG